GAGAGCACUUCUGAUCAGCCAGGUGCUUUCAUGGAAAACUCUGCAGUAGGGAAUUUGGAACAGGAGCCCCCCAUAUCCUACACAGAGAUGCUGAAUGACCAGGACUGGGGGACUCCUAACAAUUACAGAGCUGAGACAUCUUGUGACCAGCACACCGUUCCAAAGAAUGGGGAUGACUGGGGAUCAACCUCAUCAUAUAGAG